UUGAUUCAAACAGAGGUUGGUUUUCUUGAUUCCAUUACCAGUGAAACCCUAAUGGAUCCUUCCCGCUGCCUGAAUCAUCUUCCAAUUUUUGUUGUCGUCUCCCAAAACCCGAAUAUCAGUAUUUCUUAAUCGGGAUAUUUUUUUAUCAUAGUUGGUUUUUACCUAAUAUAUUUUCUUUUUUCACUCUCAGAACCCUAAAUCUCAAUAGCAACAACUAACCAACAGGCUUUGGGGAUUGUGAUGGUUGAUUAGUAUCUGAUUCUUGCUAUCAUUCUUCUUGUGGUGUUUGUUACACAUCUGGAAACUGGGACAUUAUGCCUUAGCCACUGCCUCCAGCAAUGAAGGCUAGGGUUCUGACGAGUUGACCUAGAGCCAGUUCAGUUGACAGGUUAAAGAAUAACCGCUAUCGCUACCACCUCCAUCGUUACAGGAAUGAAUGAGGCUUAGCCUUUUAUGUGGUUUGUCACUGCCUCAGCCAAGGUGCGCCUCAAAUCGCCUUUUAAAACCAUGAAUGCAGGUACGUAUAUAUUUCGAAAACAACAUGAUUUAUUAUGUUACAUGUCUUUAUCG
rnacentral:lncRNA from 1 species